AUUGAACGCUGGCGACAUGCCUUACACAUGCAAGUCGAACGGCAGCACGGGUGCUUGCACCUGGUGGCGAGUGGCGAACGGGUGAGUAAUACAUCGGAACAUGUCCUGUAGUGGGGGAUAGCCCGGCGAAAGCCGGAUUAAUACCGCAUACGAUCUACGGAUGAAAGCGGGGGACCUUCGGGCCUCGCGCUAUAGGGUUGGCCGAUGGCUGAUUAGCUAGUUGGUGGGGUAAAGGCCUACCAAGGCGACGAUCAGUAGCUGGUCUGAGAGGACGACCAGUCACACUGGGACUGAGACACGGCCCAGACUCCUACGGGAGGCAGCAGUGGGGAAUUUUGGACAAUGGGCGAAAGCCUGAUCCAGCAAUGCCGCGUGCGUGAAGAAGGCCUUCGGGUUGUAAAGCACUUUUGUCCGGAAAGAAAUCCUUGGCCCUAAUACGGUCGGGGGAUGACGGUACCGGAAGAAUAAGCACCGGCUAACUACGUG
rnacentral:rRNA from 1 species